UGGGGAAUAUUGGACAAUGGGCGAAAGCCUGAUCCAGCCAUGCCGCGUGUGUGAAGAAGGUCUUCGGAUUGUAAAGCACUUUAAGUUGGGAGGAAGGGCAGUAAGCGAAUACCUUGCUGUUUUGACGUUACCGACAGAAUAAGCACCGGCUAACUCUGUGCCAGCAGCCGCGGUAAUACAGAGGGUGCAAGCGUUAAUCGGAAUUACUGGGCGUAAAGCGCGCGUAGGUGGUUCGUUAAGUUGAAUGUGAAAGCCCCGGGCUCAACCUGGGAACUGCAUCCAAAACGGGCGAGCUAGAGUAGGGCAGAGGGUGGUGGAAUUUCCUGUGUAGCGGUGAAAUGCGUAGAUAUAGGAAGGAACACCAGUGGCGAAGGCGACCACCUGGGCUCAUACUGACACUGAGGUGCGAAAGCGUGGGAAGCAAACAGG
rnacentral:rRNA from 1 species